rnacentral:misc_RNA from 1 species
UAAAGGUUUGAAGACAACCGCACUCCAUCCUUCAAAGCCUGGUGAGCCCUCGUGCAUAUGGCAUGGUCCUUAAGAGAGGAGCAGCUCAGCAUUCUCAGGAGGGCUGUUAAAAAUUACAAUAUCAAAAGAAAACUCCAUUCAUGUGCUGCCAGCUAGUUUAGUCACAUUCCCUUCUUUUGGAGACAUUUUACAACAACUAAGCUGAGGCUCAAACCUUAUUACCUUUUUGGCAAUGUUCU